AAGACCCUGCUCAAGAAACGUCUCAGACAGGGGCGGCCCAAUACAUUUGGAGGCCUAAGGCAAAUCCAAUGAAUGAGGCCUCUUUUUUUUUAAUAAUAAAAAUUUUUAAUAAGUAUAAAAUACUUAAAAAAUGAUAUGAAAAUAGAUAGCUAUCAAGUACACUAUUUCAACAAAGAUACAUAAAUCUAAUAAAAAUAGACAAGAAGCCUUUUCAAUUUAAUAUAAUUUUUGAAUGGAAGCACAGAAAAGUAAUUACCCUAAAAGAAGGGCCAUAAAACUGACUAAAUAACUGAGAUAAUGCUUGGCAAUACUGUUCACCAUGUCAAGCAAGAGCAGAAUAGGAAAAGGUCAUCCCAUGGCACUUCAUGGUCAAGGUAAAGAAAAGAAUUUGUCCAGAAAGGAACCUCUCUAUAAGAGAAAGUAGGGGCAUUAUGGGAAAUUCACUCCAUCUAAUUGAUAAAAAUCCCAUCCCACCAUCUCCCCUUCAAAUGAGUACCCAAGCAGCAACUGCAACAUCACAGCACAGCAGCCAUUCAACCCCCUCCCUCCUUUUC
rnacentral:lncRNA from 1 species